AGGGUUUGAUCAUGGCUCAGAACGUACGCUGGCGGCACGCCUAACACAUGCAAGUCGAACGAAGUAGCAAUACUUAGUGGCAGACGGGUGAGUAACAUGUAGGUAUCUGCCCUUUGGCCUGGAAUAACACGAGGAAACUUGUGCUAAUACCGGAUAAGUCUUUACGGAGAAAGCUUUAUGCACCAUUGGAUGAGCCUGCACUUGAUUAGUUUGUUGGUGGGGUAAUGGCCUACCAAGACUGUGAUCAAUAGCUGAUUUGAGAGGAUGAUCAGCCACAUUGGGACUGAGACACGGCCCAAACUCCUACGGGAGGCAGCAGUGGGGAAUCUUGCACAAUGGAGGAAACUCUGAUGCAGCGAUGCCGCGUGAGUGAAGAAGGCCUUUGGGUUGUAAAGCUCUUUCGUCGGGGAAGAAAAUGACUGUACCCGAAUAAGAAGGUCCGGCUAACUUCGUGCCAGCAGCCGCGGUAAUUC
rnacentral:rRNA from 1 species